CCUGACGACCAUAGCGAGUUGGUACCACCUGAUCCCAUUUCGAACUCAGUAGUGAAACGACUUUGCGCCGAUGGUAGUGUGGGAGAUCCCAUGUGAGAGUAGGUCAUCGUCAGGC
rnacentral:rRNA from 2 species